rnacentral:rRNA from 1 species
UACGGGGGGGGCAAGCGUUGUUCGGAAUUACUGGGCGUAAAGGGCUUGUAGGUGGCCAACUAAGUCAGACGUGAAAUCCCUCGGCUUAACCGGGGAACUGCGUCUGAUACUGGAUGGCUGGAGUGUGGGAGAGGGAUGCGGAAUUCCAGGUGUAGCGGUGAAAUGCGUAGAUAUCUGGAGGAACACCGGUGGCGAAGGCGGCAUCCUGGACCAAUACUGACGCUGAGGAGCGAAAGCCAGGGGAGCAAACGGG